AGGGAACCCUGAUUUUCAGUAUUUGCCUCUUUUCCUGGUAUAAAUAUUCCCACUGUGGGCAGUAUCACCUGCCUCUCAAAAUUCCUGAAAAUUCAACAGUUGGCUCCUGGCAGCUGCUGUGAGCCGUUCCAGCCGGUGACUGUGGUGGCUCCAUCCUGCAGGGCCAUGUGCCCCCACCCCUUGUGCUAUGGCCACCCUCACUUUAGUGUGCUGUGUUUUGCUCUUAGGAAUCAAUGUCUUUGCAGAUAAGGCACCCCAGUAGCUGGCCACCACCUGCAGUUCCCUGGUCUGUCUCUUGCUGGCACCAAGCUGUGCUGUGCCUGCUGAGACUGCUGGGCCACCCCAGCGCAUAUGGUCUGCGGGGCUUACUUGAUUCCCUUAGCUUCCCAGCCAAGGUGCUGGUGUUGCCAGCAGUGCUGGCAGGAGGAGGGGAUAACUAGAGGGGAUUUAACUCAACCCGAGGGGCUCUUACGGGAUCUUUCCUGGAUAUCCCUCCAGGUGGGGCUGGCUGCCCUGAGGGUGUACAAACUUCCAACUCCUCCAAUGGCUGAAGCUACUUCCUCGAGCAGAUGGCAGCUGGCUCAGGCUGGCUAGGGACCAGUGCAUGUGAGGUCGGUGCUGGAUCACCCCAUCAAGGCCAUCAGCCUGUGCUUGUUCUUGGGGUUUGAGGGAAACCCAACAGGGAUGAAUCACAGUUUUUAACCUGUGUUUGUCUGCCCCCCAGCCCUGGACAUCUGCAGGCAAAGUUAAAGUUAUAUUUGGCUCUUAUCACCACAAAAGGCAUAGACCAGAAAUUAUGGCAUCGGGUUGGAAGUCAGGGAGGCUAAUUUGGGGAAACUGCCUGGAGGAAGCAGCAACUCAAAAGAGGAGGAGUCACACUGUGGGACAGAACAGGCCCUGCAUAAGAACCACUAACCCCAGGCAAGCCCAGACAUGGCCUUCUGCCUGGGGAGGCCCUCUUUGGCCUGCUCAGCAGACC
rnacentral:lncRNA from 10 species